rfam:Psychroflexus torquis ATCC 700755, complete genome.
GGAGGUAGGUCCUCCGAUGAGGGUUUUUAGGAAAACUCAUCAAACCACUUCUAUGACGCAUCCAAGGCAACAAAGAUGUGUGAAGCGAUAGAAGAAAAGGCUAUUUAAAAUAGUCAGGU